GUGAACGCCCUCACGGGCUUAUAACUAUUCCAAACCUCCGUGAACCGUGCCCUUCGGGGCUAUUUUACAAACAUGGUGUAAUGAACGUCAUAUAUCAUAACAAAACA
rnacentral:misc_RNA from 1 species